rnacentral:rRNA from 1 species
UACGUAGGGACCAAGCGUUGUUCGGAAUCACUGGGCAUAAAGCGCUCGUAGGCGGCACCGCAAGUGUGGGGUGAAAUCCCACGGCUUACCCGUGGAACUGCCUGGCAGACUGCGGUGCUAGAGGAUGGUAGGGGAGAGCGGAACUCUUGGUGGAGCGGUGAAAUGCGUAGAUAUCAAGAGGAACACCGGUGGCGAAGGCGGCUCUCUGGUCCAAACCUGACGCUGAGGAGCGAAAGCUAGGGGAGCAAACGGG